rnacentral:rRNA from 1 species
GACGAACGCUGGCGGCGUGCCUAACACAUGCAAGUCGAACGGAAAGGCCCUGCUUUUGUGGGGUGCUGGAGUGGCGAACGCGUGAGUAUCACGUGAGUAUCCUGACCUUGACUUUGGGAUAACUUCAGGAAACUGGGGCUAAUAUCAGACAGGAGCCCCUGUUGCAUGGUGGGGGUGGGAAAGUUUCGGCGGUUGGGGAUGGACUCGCGGGUUAUCAGCUUGUUGGUGGGGUAGUGGCUUACCAAGGCUUUGACGGGUAGCCGGCCUGAGAGGGUGACCGGCCACAUUGGGACUGAGGUACGGCCCAGACGCCUACGGGAGGCAGCAGUGGGGAAUAUUGCACAAUGGGCGGAAGCCUGAUGCAGCAGCGUCGCGUUCGGGAUGACGGCCUUCGGGUUGUAAACCGCUUUCGCCUGUGACGAAGCGUGAGUGACGGUAAUGGGUAAAGAAGCACCGGCUAACUACGUG